rnacentral:lncRNA from 1 species
CGCAACGGUUCAUCACAAAAAUCAACUUGGACAGUUGAGUUUGUAUCCGAUAAACGAAACAAGAUCCGUCUAAAAAGCUGCCACGGAUUGUACCUUACCGCGACUGCUGAGCCAUUCCUUCUCGGCAUGACUGGGAAAAAGGUCAUACAAAACCUCCCGGCCACAAAAUUGGACGCUUCUGUCGAAUGGGAGCCUAUAAAAGAAGGAACAUAUGUGAAACUUAAAACAAACGAUGCCAACUUUUUGAGAGCCAAUUGGGGCACACCCCCAUGGAGAAACUCUGUAACACAUGACAUCCCACAUAGAAGUGCAACACAAGAUUGGAUUCUAUGGGAAGUUGAGGUACUAGACUUUCGAGCAAUGCCUGUGGAGUACGAUACUUUACUUACUUUCUCCCCGAGUUUCUCCCCCGCAGUUCACAUGCUUUCACCAUAUCCCGGUCCACCUGUGGUCCUCUUUAAGCACGAAUACUCCCCCGUAAAAAUGCUGGUACGUUUUCUUGAUUCUGUCCCCCUGCUUUUUGUAGUGCAUUGCGAGAAGAUAAUCUUUUUACUGUGUUUAAUACAAUGUGCAUUGCACGAGAUACUAUUUACAGCAAUGCGGUUUAUUACAAAGGCUAUUCACACAGGCUACACAAAAGAAUUAUUCAUUGGACCACGCUUGGACAUUUAUCAACGUCCCUUUAUAACGAACAUUAACAUUGUCUCGCAGCAAAUAAUCGAUCAUAUGUGUUCUUGAAUUUCGAAUCUGGCCUCACCCCUUCUGCAAAUUUCAAUCCUGUUCGGAAACUCUAAAUCCAGGAUCAGAAAAGGAAAAAUAAUUUCCACGAUGCUUCUUACAUCCUUAAUUCUAUUUGAUUGUGUUUGAUUUACAUUCUGCAGAGCAGUGGAAUGGAAUUUUUCACGAAAGCGAAAACGGUUCGCCUGAAAAGCCACCAUAACAAAUACCUACGAGCUGAUCAUGACAAGGAAAAUGUAUUCCAAAAUCGUCGAGGAUCAACAAAGACUGCGUUAUGGAUUGUCGAGUUUGUGCAAGAUGUUGAUACUGUGGUUCGGUUAAGAAGCAUUUUUGGGAGAUAUCUAACGGCUACCGAUCAAGAAAAGAUCCUAGGCCUCACGGGCCGGAAAGUUCUUCAAACUGUGCCUGCAAGAUUGGAUUCCUCCGUUGAAUGGGAGCCUAUUCGAGAAGGCUCAAAAGUGAAGCUUAAAACAAGAUACGGUAAUUUUCUAAGAGCAAAUGGGGGAUUACCCCCUUGGAGAAAUUCUAUCACGCAUGACAUUCCACAUGUGCAUAAUGGUUGGAUCCUGUGGGAUGUUGAUGUUGUUGAGAGACAGCCUGAUACUCCUAAAAAGGUUGAAAGAUCUGAAACUCCGGAGGUGGACGAGCCCUCUUCUUCCGUUCAUCUUCAAUCUCCUCCAUCCUCCGCGGAUGAGGUCUGUUUAAUAUUUUAAAUAUCUGUAUUCACGUACAUUGUCCUCGUAUAAUGUUAAUGCAUGGCCUGCAUUCUCCAGAGGUGAUUAAAAGAUGUUGUAGAUUUUGAUNGAGGGAGGCGUCAGAGGAGUGGGAGCCUAUAAGGGAAGGUAACACUCAUGUGAAGCUGAGGAGUAAAGAUGGGGGAAUGUAUUUGAGAGCUAAUGGAGGCACGCCUCCUUGGAGGAACUCUGUCACGCAUGAUUUUCCGUAUACAAGUGCGACGCAAGGUUGGGUUCUGUGGGCUGUUGAAGCUAUUGAUGUUUCUGAGUUUUCGGAUUCUGAUCAUUCUUUCAAUAGUUUGGACUCCAGUGAACCAUCUGUUGAUGCACAUUCUCCGUAUGGAGCUCAGGUACAUAGUUACAGAUUUUAUUUUUAAUUCAAUUCGUCUGUUAGAAUAGUAUAAUAUGAUCCUGGUAAACCUUCUUCCCAAUACCUCGAGGUUUGGUAACUUAACAUGGUAUCAGAGUAUGUUACCAUACCAAGACAACUAAACUCUAGUGAAUACUAACCUUGCGCUUUUAUCAGCUGCUGGUUCAGAAUGGGGCGAAAUUCAACGCUCUGGCGCUUAGUUCACAGAUGUCGCUGCUAAAUGCAUCUUGGAUACAGCCGGUAAAUUAGACAAACCAACUCCUUAAAAAAUUUCAUAACACUGUACGAGAGUAUUAGUUAACAAAACAUACAUAUUUCAGUAACAUAAUUAUAAAUGCAGAACGGGAUGGAAUAUUUCGUGAAAGCAAAGGCAGUGAGGCUUCGAAACCGUCACGGCAAAUAUCUAGUAGCCGAUGAUGAUCAAUCAAGCAUUCGUCAGAGCCGCAACGGUUCAUCACAAAAAUCAACUUGGACAGUUGAGUUUGUAUCCGAUAAACGAAACAAGAUCCGUCUAAAAAGCUGCCACGGAUUGUACCUUACCGCGACUGCUGAGCCAUUCCUUCUCGGCAUGACUGGGAAAAAGGUCAUACAAAACCUCCCGGCCACAAAAUUGGACGCUUCUGUCGAAUGGGAGCCUAUAAA